rnacentral:rRNA from 1 species
UACGUAGGGUCCGAGCGUUGUCCGGAAUUAUUGGGCGUAAAGAGCUCGUAGGCGGUUCAGUAAGUCGGGUGUGAAAACUCUGGGUUCAACCCAGAGACGCCACCCGAUACUGCUGUGACUUGAGUACGGUAGGGGAGUGGGGAAUUCCUGGUGUAGCGGUGAAAUGCGCAGAUAUCAGGAGGAACACCAGUGGCGAAGGCGCCACUCUGGGCCGUAACUGACGCUGAGGAGCGAAAGCGUGGGUAGCAAACAGG